GAGAUUGAACAGAGCAGAGCGCAUGGCGCAGUCAUAUGACACUGACGCACUGACACCUUUAUCGUCUUAUGAGUUUCCUCCACUAAGUACAGAGUAUAGAUAUGACAGUUUUUCCUCCAAAAUUCAAGUCUUUGUUCUUAAAUCGGAACGUACAGAAUAAAUGUGAUGAUCAGGAGGAAGAUGACCGCUUGAAUCUAAGAUCCUAAGAGGGGACGAGCGUGACCUAGAUGAAACACACUAAUGUAACGUUCCAAACUUACCCAAAAACAAUCCCAAAUACACAAAGUAGAAUGCAGGUAUGCGAUUUCCCCCAUGUCCAUGCUCCCUAUGGAUCAGAACUCUCCAGGCGAAUGGUAGGGCAAAUAAAAUGGGUAGAAGCGCUGCUGUUGAUGAGUAACCUGCAAUCAAAUAAAUUACAUGUGGAAUUAAGCAUA